GAUGAACGCUGGCGGCGUGCCUAAUACAUGCAAGUCGAGCGAACGGACGAGAAUCUUGCUUCUCUGAUGUUAGCGGCGGACGGGUGAGUAACACGUGGAUAACCUACCUAUAAGACUGGGAUAACUUCGGGAAACCGUAUCUAAUACCGGAUAAUAUUUUGAACCGCAUGGUUCAAAAGUGAAAGACGGUCUUGCUGUCACUUAUAGAUGGAUCCGCGCUGCAUUAGCUAGUUGGGAAGGUAACGGCUUACCAAGGCAACGAUGCAUAGCCGACCUGAGAGGGUGGUAGGCCCCCCUGGAACGGAGACACGGUCCAGACUCCUACGGGAGGCAGCAGUAGGGAAUCUUCCGCAAGGGGCGAAAGCCUGACGGAGCAACGCCGCGUGAGUGAUGAAGGUCUUCGGAUCGUAAAACUCUGUUAUUAGGGAAGAACAUAUGUGUAAGUAACUGUGCACAUCUUGACGGUACCUAAUCAGAAAGCCACGGCUAACUACGUG
rnacentral:rRNA from 1 species